AUAGCCCGGGUACGGAUGGCUCUUGAAUAGCCCUCCAUCUUGCCGUUUCGCAGCUAACAUGGCGGGGGAAAGAAGAAAACUUUCUUAGGGAACGUGAAGCACAAGUUCGUUUCGGCUCUAGGCGGAGGCCGUCUUUCCGCCUUCAGAUGCACACAGAACCGGAGAGCGCGUUGAACACAGCACAAUGCAAACACACGUUCUGACGGAAACCUGUUUACCCACCCGAGGUUGAGGACUGCAGGUCGAGACUGCUGUGCCAAUAAUGCUGCUCCUGCUAGAUAUGGCGGAAACCUGACGUGUUUGCACCAAAAAUGUUCAGAACUAGCUACAGACUUUAUCACAGACUGGACUGAAUAAUGAAGAAAUCCAA